rnacentral:misc_RNA from 1 species
GAUGAAGAACGUAGCGAAAUGCGAUAAGUAAUGUGAAUUGCAGAAUUCAGUGAAUCAUCGAAUCUUUGAACGCACAUUGCGCCCGCCAGUAUUCUGGCGGGCAUGCCUGUCUGAGCGUCAUUUCAACCCUCAUGCCCCUAGGGCGUGGUGUUGGGGAUCGGCCAAAGCCCGCGAGGGACGGCCGGCCCCUAAAUCUAGUGGCGGACCCGUCGUGGCCUCCUCUGCGAAGUAGUGAUAUUCCGCAUCGGAGAGCGACGAGCCCCUGCCGUUAAACCCCCAACUUUCCAAGGUUGACCUCAGAUCAGGUAGGAAUACCAGCUGAACUUAAGCAUAUCAAUAAGCGGAGGA